rnacentral:rRNA from 1 species
UAACUCCGGGAAACCGGGGCUAAUACCGGAUGCUUGAUUGAACCGCACGGUUCAAUCAUAAAAGGUGGCUUUUAGCUACCACUUGCAGAUGGACCCGCGGCGCAUUAGCUAGUUGGUGAGGUAACGGCUCACCAAGGCGACGAUGCGUAGCCGACCUGAGAGGGUGAUCGGCCACACUGGGACUGAGACACGGCCCAGACUCCUACGGGAGGCAGCAGUAGGGAAUCUUCCGCAAUGGACGAAAGUCUGACGGAGCAACGCCGCGUGAGUGAUGAAGGUUUUCGGAUCGUAAAACUCUGUUGUUAGGGAAGAACAAGUACCGUUCGAAUAGGGCGGCACCUUGACGGUACCUAACCGGAAAGCCACGGCUAACUACGUGCCAGCAGCCGCGGUAAUACGUAGGUGGCAAGCGUUGUCCGGAAUUAUUGGGCGUAAAGCGCGCGCAGGCGGUUUCUUAAGUCUGAUGUGAAAGCCCCCGGCUCAACCGGGGAGGGUCAUUGGAAACUGGGGAACUUGAGUGCAGAAGAGGAGAGUGGAAUUUCCACGUGUAGCGGUGAAAUGCGUAGAGAUGUGGAGGAACACCAGUGGCGAAGGCGACUCUCUGGUCUGUAACUGACGCUGAGGCGCGAAAGCGUGGGGAGCGAACAGGAUUAGAUACCCUGGUAGUCCACGCCGUAAACGAUGAGUGCUAAGUGUUAGAGGGUUUCCGCCCUUUAGUGCUGCAGCAAACGCAUUAAGCACUCCGCCUGGGGAGUACGGUCGCAAGACUGAAACUCAAAGGAAUUGACGGGGGCCCGCACAAGCGGUGGAGCAUGUGGUUUAAUUCGAAGCAACGCGAAGAACCUUACCAGGUCUUGACAUCCUCUGACAACCCUAGAGAUAGGGCUUCCCCUUCGGGGGCAGAGUGACAGGUGGUGCAUGGUUGUCGUCAGCUCGUGUCGUGAGAUGUUGGGUUAAGUCCCGCAACGAGCGCAACCCUUGAUCUUAGUUGCCAGCAUUCAGUUGGGCACUCUAAGGUGACUGCCGGUGACAAACCGGAGGAAGGUGGGGAUGACGUCAAAUCAUCAUGCCCCUUAUGACCUGGGCUACACACGUGCUACAAUGGGCAGAACAAAGGGCAGCGAAGCCGCGAGGCUAAGCCAAUCCCACAAAUCUGUUCUCAGUUCGGAUCGCAGUCUGCA